CACUUGCACCCUCUCUCUCAAAAAAAAAAAAAAGGAAAAGAGAGAUCUGGGAUUUGCUAACAUGCUGCUAGAAAAGCAAGGUCCCCAAAGCCCCAUUUUAUUAAAAAGAUUACAAUAGGUAUCAGUGAAAAGAGCCAUCGCCUUUAGAAAGCUCAUCAGAAUGAGCAAAGAAACAGGCCGCCCACAGUCAAUGCCCGACUGUCCUGUCUCUUCAGAUCUAGGGGAGGACGAGGGGGACUCUGAAGAGAUUAUUUGCUCAUAAGCUUUAGAGCUACUGAAAGCAGCAGCUCCUACAGAAAAAAGAAUCCUGAGAAUAAGAAGAGGUGAUGACAAAACCAUGAAUUCACCUAGAGGGGUGCAGUCAGAAACAAAGCAGAAUGUGCUAGAUUGUGGAAGUGAGGCCCCCUGACAGCUCAGGGCCUGGGCUUUGCUGAGAAAGCUCCCAGGCAGCCCAGGCGGGGCUCAUUUGAUCUGGUUUGCAGGAGCCCUUCAGUCGUUUCCCUGGGAGUGCGGCUCCCACCAGGCGAGAGCCCCCUGGCCGGGGCUCAGCCUCAGCCGCCGUUGCUCUUCCUGGGACUGUGAGGUGCUCUGUGGCAGGAGGAAGGCGCGGGACCUGCAGGGAGUUCACAGCUGCGGUUCUGAUGGUCCCCAGCCAGCACAUGCCGAAUCCCACCUUGGAGCUGUGAGAGAGAGUCCUCUGAGCAGCCCAGCGGUGCCCUGCGCGCCCAGCCCGACUCUGCCUUCUUAUGUCAUCCUCUUCUCGCUCAAGCCGGUUUCUGAGUGUACCUCCUGGCCUCCAGCUAGUGUGGCAAGAAUCAGAAAGUGCGUGGACAGCAUUUUGGGCCAGGACAUUUCACCUAAGGGGCUUUCUGGUCCUGUCAUCUAGGAAGGACUUCAUGAUGAGAUGAUGUGUAAUCACCCCCAAAAAGAAGAGAUAAGGCCUUUCUGGUACAUCCCCACCACAAAGCGCUGAUAACUGCCCAAGAAUCUAUGGGCUGGACUCGAGGCAAGGAUUGAAUAAAUGCAAAAUUUCCUCUUUUUAAGGCAAUAAAAAAUGCUGACUUGA